GGCAGUUCUUGGGUGACGCACCGUGGAAUCAGGCUCUCUCCUCUCUGGUUCCGGGUGUGUCACCUGAGAACUGCA
rfam:Myotis brandtii contig235394, whole genome shotgun sequence.